rnacentral:rRNA from 1 species
AGUGAACGCUGGCGGUAGGCCUAACACAUGCAAGUCGAACGGCAGCACAGGAGAGCUUGCUCUCUGGGUGGCGAGUGGCGGACGGGUGAGGAAUACAUCGGAAUCUACUUUUUCGUGGGGGAUAACGUAGGGAGACUUACGCUAAUACCGCAUACGACCUACGGGUGAAAGCAGGGGAUCUUCGGACCUUGCGCGAGUGAAUGAGCCGAUGUCGGAUUAGCUAGUUGGCGGGGUAAAGGCCCACCAAGGCGACGAUCCGUAGCUGGUCUGAGAGGACGAUCAGCCACACUGGAACUGAGACACGGGCCAGACUCCUGCGGGGGGCAGCAGUGGGGAAUAUUGGACGAUGGGCGCAAGCCUGAUCCAGCCAUACCGCGUGGGUGAAGAAGGCCUUCGGGUUGUAAAGCCCUUUUGUUGGGAAAGAAAUCCAGCUGGUUAAUACCCGGUUGGGAUGACGGUACCCAAAGAAUAAGCACCGGCUAACUUCGUGCCAGCCGCCGCGGUAA